AGUGAACGCUGGCGGCGUGCUUAACACAUGCAAGUCGAACGAGAACGGAUUAUAGCUUGCUAUAAUUGUCAGCUAAGUGGCGCACGGGUGAGUAAUAUAUAGGUAACGUGCCCCAAAGAAGAGGAUAACAGAUGGAAACGUCUGCUAAGACUCUAUAUGCCUUUAUGACAAAAGUCAGCAAGGGAAAUAUUUAUAGCUUUGGGAUCGGCCUGUACAGUAUCAGUUAGUUGGUGAGGUAAUGGCUCACCAAGACAAUGACGCUUAACUGGUUUGAGAGGAUGAUCAGUCACACUGGAACUGAGACACGGUCCAGACUCCUACGGGAGGCAGCAGUGGGGAAUAUUGCACAAUGG
rnacentral:rRNA from 1 species